rnacentral:tRNA from 1 species
GCCUAGGUAGCGCAGUAGGCAGCGCGUCAGUCUCAUAAUCUGAAGGUCGAGAGUUCGAUCCUCUCCUUGGGCA